rnacentral:rRNA from 1 species
UACGUAGGAGGCGAGCGUUGUCCGGAAUUACUGGGCGUAAAGAGCGCGUAGGCGGCGCGAUACGACCGAUGUGAAAGCCCCCGGCUCAACUGGGGAGGGUCAUCGGUAACGGUCGUGCUAUGAGUGCAGGAGAGGGAAGUGGAACUCCGGGAGUAGCGGUGAAAUGCGUAGAUAUCGUUUGGAACGCCAAUGGUGAAAACAGGUUGCUGGGAGUGUGCUGACGCUGAGACACGAAAGCCAGGGGAGCAAACGGG